UUUUCUUAAAAACUAUUUCUUGCCUGUUCCCCCGCAUGUGUAACCCUUUUGAAAACGUUCUUGGUGGUCAUCUCUUUUUGUUGCGUUGACGCUGGCAUAAAAGCAGCAGCAACCGCUGUCAUUUUUGUUUUGUUUCUUCUCUAUUUCGAGGCCACAUGCACACGCACACACAUGCAAAACGAAGACACAGAGAGCGAAAGAGAAACGAACACCAAGGCACAGGUAAUAAAAACUGUUUAAAACAACAAAUGUAUUUAUUUGCUUGAAAUUUAACGGCUUUCUAAUUUGUUUCAAGGCAAAGCCAGAGACGCAAAAACACACAAAUCAGAAAUCAAAAGCAGCCACAGCAGUACCCGCGCGUCUGCUUGCGGCAGGAGUCGUAAAUGCGAUAUUUUGUGAUAUUUUUUGACCCGCGAAAUACUAUAAAACCGGGAAAUAAUGCAAAAAAAACAACUUCAAUCAAACAGAACAGAAAUUCAUGCGCGCACAGCGCGAAACGAGACCGAAAUGAGAGCCGGGAACGAGGACAACAGCAGAAAACAGUGCGCACCGCUGAUCGUCAGAGGGCGAACGUGGAGUGCAGAGCGAGUGCCACCAUUCAUGUAUCAUUUGUCUUCAGGUAACGAAGCAAAGUGUGUAAAGAGAGUCAAAAAACCAGCAUGGCUACCUGUUGCACUCACACACUAGCAUACCGAAACCCGUUAUCUUCGAAGUCACGCUAUCUGCCUCUCGCUCUGGCCCACUCACUGAGCGGCUUAAUCAGGUUGUCGCCGCACACACCGCACCGCAGCGAACACCGCAAUCGUUUAUUUGUGAUACGCCUACCUACGAACGCAGAGCAGCGCAGCGAGUACCUCUAGAGCGGGCAUUAAACCGCAGAUUCACACACAAUGGAAGCGCUUUGUUGUCGCUUCGUCGUCGUUAUCAAUUAAAUGUAACGCAAAGCAAAGUGAAAUGAAAAUGAAAAUGGCAGCCCAGCCGUACAGCCGUACAGCCGUACAGCCGUACUACUACUACGCCUACAGUGGAUGCCAUGUGGAUGUGAACACGUUACAAAAGCGGAAAUGCCAAUUGAAGCUACCUUUAACAAUGCCCCCACGAAGAUGCCCAGGGGUCCCAGGGGUUGACUGACUGACUGCGGCAUGACUCAAGUGCACGUGGGAGCGCAUGGUUAAGCAAUUACGCGGGAUCGCCACUCGAGCGGCUGGGCACAAGGUACAGUCUGACCCCCCCGGUGGCCUUAGCUUCGAUAAGCAGGCGCACACGUGCGUUCAUCUACAUGUGUAUAUGGAAAAGUAUUUCGGAGCACCUUCCACGAAUUUUCGGGGUAUUUGCAUGCUGCUGAUAAGAAACGGGAUCUCAAUCGAUCAGAGCGAGUGUGUACCGCGCGUAAACAACUUGUUAGGGGAUCAGGGCCGGAAUGCGAUAGAAAGACGUUCUACGUAGACUGAUCACAUCAGGUGACACACAGAAAAAGGUUCAUUGCUUCAGCGGCAUACGGAUUUUGCUUAUCAUCACUCCUCCUACCCACCCAUUUCUUAUCAGCCUGAACGUGAGGUUCGUGAAAAAUCAGCGAAAUCUGAAAGCGGAAGAAGCUAUCAACUGCCAUAGACCCGCCACGGACCACACAUUAGAUCGCUUCAAAGCGCCCAUCAACUUAAACGAUUCUGGCAUGGAUCCGUCUGCGCGGGUCCAGCGCGGGUCCAACGGCUACCCGGGCGGGCGGGCAUGCCUGGUUAAUUGCAGGCGACAAGCCUUUGGCUAUAAUUAUAACGCAACGUAGGUGGGCGUCUGGUCUAGAGCACUGAGGUCCUCCCCCCCGCCUCACUAAUAGACAAAUCAAAUGAAAGAGCACCAGCAACCUCCUCCCAAUCCCCAACCGCACAGACACACAGACCAACCAUGGAUAUACAUAGAUAAUGUCUUGACAGAGCGACAGAGAGCUAAUUUGUGAACGUAUUUCACGAUUAUUCGGUGAAAAUGCUUUAUGCAGUGAGUGACAUGGGAAUUUGGCCAUAAUAGCGCACAUAAUUGGCUGUAAAAGAUGAUCGACCAAAGGGAGAUCACUCUGGGCUUUUAAAGUGACAACCCCAGAACAUCGUUGACAAAAUGCUCGUACCCACCGAUGUCAGGGGGAACGAAUGCUGUGCGUUUCAAAAAUAUAAGAUCUUUGGCACCCUUAAAAGAUUUACUGAAACGAACUUGAGUCAAUUUGUGGCAUUUACUGAUACGAUCGAUCGCUUUCUAGAGCUAAUUUCGCGAGGCAAAUAACCGAUUUCAUUGCUUAAUGUUUUCAUUUAGAAUUCCUCCAGCCUCUUUAGCUCUAUGAAACGUACUGUAUUAGCUAUAUACACAUGUAGAUAUAAUGAUGUACAAAUCUGAUAGAUAUAGAAACGCACCUGUCGCCUGACGAAAUGCGUAAACAAAAAUAACAACAAGCGACAAGCUCAAAGUUUUUUUUCUGCUUCUGCCUCUGCUUAUGUUUUUGUUUUAUUCUAUUUUAUUUUGUUUUGAGGUCAACGAAGCAGCGAAAGAAAACGAAAAAAAAAAAAACAUUAUUAACGACGCCACACAGAAAUGUUUAGCGCAAAAAGAUGAAACGAAAGAGAGGACGAUACGAACGAACAUAAUAAUGUCGGAACGGACAUCUAACUGCUUUAUAGCGAAACGCGACCCAAUUUCUGGCUUAUCGCCUGCCUCUGACUACUGCUGGCAGCUGCGCGAAUGGAAUACGACUAACAAAAUGGAACAAAAUUGGAUGCGACCGAACCGAGAUUACGCGUAGGAGCUACUACUACACGGAAUGAAUGAAUUUCCACUUGAGCCAUUGACGUACUACCUUGCGACAGAGCAAGAUAGAGAGAGGGAGUGAGAGAGAGAGAGAGAUAUAGAAACCCGAACUAAUUGUAGUACCUCGAGGAAUCAGAGAUCAAUCAUCUCUCUCGUGGGGUUAUCGGAACGCACCGAAAGCUCUCCGGUGGAAGCCAGAGUCUGACUUGAGGCUGGGUUAAUUUGUGUAUU